AUGGUGCCGCCUCCGCCGACGGAAAAUCCGCGAUUUGAAGGCGGCCGUGUCCUCGCCGUCGCCGUCCGCGGCCGCUUCAACGUCGACGGCCGCCUCUGCGCCUACGGGAGGGAGCUGGUGGACUACAAGCUGCUGCGCAUCCGCACGGACCGCGUGCUGCAGGUUUGCUCGGUGCUCGCCCUCGGCGGCGAUGGCAUCAACAGCGGCAGCUUCGCGCGGUGGAGGAAGGUACCGAGCCCACCCCAGAACGUCUUCACGGGGCGCAGGAGCGUGGCCGUCGUCGACGGGGUCGCCUACUUCGUGCUGUCUACGGCGUUCAUCCACCGCGGGACGCCGGGCCACUACACUGGCCAAGGUCUCCUGUGACGGGCCCAAA
rnacentral:lncRNA from 1 species